rnacentral:rRNA from 1 species
AGCGAACGCUGGCGGCAGGCCUAACACAUGCAAGUCGAGCGGCCCUUCGGGGCAGCGGCGGACGGGUGAGUAACGCGUGGGAACGUGCCCUUUGGUACGGAACAACUGAGGGAAACUUCAGCUAAUACCGUAUGUGCCCUACGGGGGAAAGAUUUAUCGCCAUUGGAGCGGCCCGCGUUAGAUUAGCUAGUUGGUAGGGUAAUGGCCUACCAAGGCGACGAUCUAUAGCUGGUCUGAGAGGAUGACCAGCCACACUGGGACUGAGACACGGCCCAGACUCCUACGGGCGGCAGCAGUGGGGAAUCUUGCGCAAUGGGCGAAAGCCUGACGCAGCCAUGCCGCGUGAAUGAUGAAGGUCUUAGGAUUGUAAAAUUCUUUCACCGGGGACGAUAAUGACGGUACCCGGAGAAGAAGCCCCGGCUAACUUCGUGCCAGCCGCCGCAGUAAAAC